ensembl:lncRNA
GGGUGCAUAGGUUGGUGUGUGUAAGCAGGCGUGUCUUCAGACACAGGAAAGAGGUACCGUCCUAAGCCCACCGGUGGUCACCAGGCCCGCUGGAGGGAGAGAAGGGACACAGCCAGGUUACUGUGAAUUAACUCCACAGGGCUGUUGGACAGUUGAUCUGAUUUCUGCUGGAUAAACGUGGUGACUGCGAAGAUGUUUUUCUGCAUCCCACGGCUGACACCUGGGUACAUCAGAUACUUGAAGGAAGAAGUGGUUCUGACAGUCGCUCAAGUAAGAUGGAAGACCGUUCUCCAGAAUGUUGACUCAGGCUGUCCAGACGAGGCUGAAGAGACGGGAAGUCCCCAUUAUUCACCGGAUUGCCAUGUUUCUAGGGCUGAUGGGAAUUGGGAUGUCCGGGUACAGUUCGCGACAGCUCACCCUGCACUACAAGCCCUAUGCUAAAUUGCUGAGAUGAGACAAAAGGCUUCUGACUUAUCAUUCUACAUCUGUCCCUGAAAUGACAACAACAUGGAUGACAUGGAUAUGGUGCAGUGAUCAAACACCCAUGACUCCACUUACACCAAACGAAUAGUUGUCUCUCUUACUAAAAUGUUUUUUAGUAAGAGACCCAAAUCAAUUUUAGUGUGACCCAAGACCCUUUAGUUUUAAAUUUGGGAUGAACAAAGUCUGUUCCACAUGCCUUAAUUUUCCACAUGCAAAGUCAAUGACCCUGAUUAUUAUUUCCUUUAAGAAAACUAUUUCAAAUCCUUUCCCUUUCAAACAAUUACAUUUAGUUUUGCCAACACAUUUCCACCCAUUCGUAGGGAUGGUUUGAACCAUUUUACAUUGAGAUAUAGUAAGGAUGUUUCCUUUAAUUGCUUACAUCCUGAACUUUAACAACAUCUUUUUUCAUCCUUUGCCUUAAAGAGGGCAAUCUGUUAAAAACAUAAAAUGAUGUUAGCUUACAUUUGCACAAGACCAAAACAAAUAAUCAUUGCAAUGACAUUCAAACCUGCCAAAAUCCCAUAGUCCACUUUUUAUUCUCUUAUUGCUGUUUGGCAUUUUUAGCUAAACACCUGUGUCAUCAGGAAAUUUGACAGUGUUUUCACAGGAAAGAGCAAAUUCACUGUAUCCAAAGUUCCUCAAGGAGAGAGAAAAUCUUAAUUGUAGUAUCUUGGAACUCAGGUUGGUCAGAGGGAUUUACAUAUUUGCUUAUGGUAUUGUCUAUAGUCUUUGUUUUGGAAUCUAUAGUAUGAUAUGAUUUGUGACUUGCUUUAACGUUUUAUGUUAGCACGCAGUGUGAGAGAAGGUCAUUGAAUAAAAAAUUCUAAAUUCUCAACUGGCCUUCUUCCAAAUAUAUUUUGUAAUGUAGUUUGUGAUUGGCCAAGCCCAAUGUCCCCUAAAGUAAUUUGAUUUGCAUGAGGACAAAAAAUAUCUAUAAACAGCACAGUACCUAUACAAGCCUGUACAACCCUGAACCAUUUUACAUUUUGUUGGUCUUUCAUGAAUGCAUUUGAAUGACAAUUUCUUUUUUCAUUCAUUCAUCCUUUCAUUCAUCUUCUUCCGCUUCUUCCGGGGCCAGGUCGCGGGGGCAGCAGUCUAAGCAGAGAUGCCCAGACUUCCCUCUCCCCAGACACUUCCUCCAGCUCUUCCGGGGGGACACCGAGGUGUUCCCAGGCCAGCCGGGAGACAUAGUCCCUCCAGCGUGUUCUAGGUCUUCCCCGGGGUCUCCUCCCGGUGGGACGGGACCGGAACACCUUCCCAGGAAGGCGUUCCGGAGGCAUCCGAAACAGAUGCCCAAGCCACCUCAGCUGACCCCUCUCGAUGUGGAGGAGCAGCGGCUCUACUCUGAGCUCCUCCCGGGUGACCGAGCUUCUCACCCUAUCUCUAAGGGAUCGCCCAGCCACCCUACGGAGAAAGCUCAUUUCGGCCGCCUGUAUCCAGGAUCUUGUCCUUUCGGUCAUUUAUUUUUUCACUUACAAACAAAUCAUGCUCCACACUUGCAUAGCAAAUGCUCAACUAUGAGAACCAAGGGCUUUUCGAAAGAGCUAAGGUACAAAGUUGUGGAAAAGAAAGACCAUGAAUAUCUCUUUGAACAUGUUGAAGAUAAUUAAGAAGUGGAAUGUAUAUGGCAUCACCCAAACCCUAACUAAAUCAAGCCGCCCUUCAAAAUACAUAACGAAUAUAUGACAAAGGAAGUUGGUGACUAUUCAGAGAGGUUAUCAAAAGGUCAAUGGCAACUGUGACUGAACUUUUGUGGCCAAAACUGGGAACGUGCAAAUCUGACAACAAUUUCCCAACUGUAUUUGGUGUGAAAUCGCGAGCCAGUUAGCAGUCUGAGCUGUUAGCAUUUCAAUUGGUUAUGUGCUCUAAAACCAAAUAGUUGUUUCCCUUGUCAAAUAAGGGCCACAUAAUUUGUGGGGUAAUGGUAACAAUGCUUUGUGGAGGACAGUUUUCAUUGUGUUCUGGAGGACCUCUGGUUCAUGUAGGACAGUGUAGAAAGUGAGACAUUGACCCAGAUCGCUCAGUGAGGGUCUGCCAGUUAUGCCAUGGAUGUUGUUGAAAAGGAUGAGGUCAAAGGGGGGUGAGUGUCUAACUGGUGUGAAAAGUCUAGCCAUUUAGUGUGAAUGCUGUUCAAUCGGUUUAGCAAAGGCAUUCAAGUAGUUGUUUCCCGUAGUUUUUGCGGUGUGAUGAUAACUAUGUUUGUGGUGUUUCCUUUUUUGGGGUCAUUGUGUUCACAUGGCUUCUGGUGUGUUCCCAAGCAGGGGGCAGUAAGGCAGUGCUAGAAGCAACUGUUACACAAGUACUCCAGACUGUAUGGCAGGGUGGCAAGAAAGAAGCCAUUUUAUACAGAAACAAGAGGUAGAGAGGUGGAAAAACUCAAAGGAUAAACCGCUGGGACUAGGUGAGGUGGUGUCGACAGGGUUGCCUCAUGGUGGCAGUUUUGGAUGGGAUUGGGAUGGUUAAUCAGGGAUGGCAUCUGCUCCCUCUCCUCUCCGGGCCUUUGUUCCUCCUCUGUGGACUAGGACUGUGGGUCACAAUUUACAGCCAAAC